rnacentral:rRNA from 1 species
UACGAAGGGGGCUAGCGUUGCUCGGAAUCACUGGGCGUAAAGCGCACGUAGGCUGCUUGUUAAGUCGAGGGUGAAAUCCUGGAGCUCAACUCCAGAACUGCCUUCGAUACUGGGAAGCUCGAGUCCGGGAGAGGUGAGUGGAACUGCGAGUGUAGAGGUGAAAUGCGUAGAUAAGCGGAAGAACACCAGUGGCGAAGGCGGCUCACUGGCCCGGUACUGACGCUGAGGUGCGAAAGCGUGGGGAGCAAACAGG